AUUGAACGCUGGCGGCAUGCUUUACACAUGCAAGUCGAACGGUAACAGGCCUUCGGGUGCUGACGAGUGGCGAACGGGUGAGUAAUGCAUCGGAACGUGCCCAGAGGUGGGGGAUAACGCAGCGAAAGCUGUGCUAAUACCGCAUGUGAUCUGAGGAUGAAAGCGGGGGACCAGGCAGCAAUGGUUGGCCUGGUGCCUUUGGAGCGGCCGAUGUCCGAUUAGGUAGUUGGGGGGGUAAAGACCUACCUAGCGAACGAUCUGUAGCUGGUCUGGGAGGACGGCCGCCCACCCUGGGGCUGGACCACGCCCCAGACUCCUACGGGAGGGCCCAGUCGGGAACUGUGGACAACGGGCGGAAGCCUUGCCCAGCGAUGCCCCGUCUGGGGAAGAGGCCCUCGGGGUGUAAACACCUUUUGCAGGGAACGAACAGGCUCUGGCUAAUACCUAGGGAUGAUGACGGUACCGUAAGAAUAAGCACCGGCUAACUACGUG
rnacentral:rRNA from 1 species